rnacentral:snoRNA from 1 species
ACCCUCCAACUCUCUUUCCCAUCAGAUCCGAACAUUGGUCUUGGUGGUAAUAAAGGAGGAAAAGAAAUGCUGAAGCUGGCUUCACAGCCUUAUAGUCUGGUCUAUAGCAUGUGGGCUAGUUUCAAACAAGG